rnacentral:rRNA from 1 species
CCUACGGGACGCAGCAGUGGGGAAUAUUGCACAAUGGGGGGAACCCUGAUGCAGCGACGCCGCGUGAGUGAAGAAGUAUUUCGGUACGUAAAGCUCUAUCAGCAGGGAAGAAAAAAGGACGGUACCUGAGUAAGAAGCCCCGGCUAACUACGUGCCAGCAGCCGCGGUAAUACGUAGGGGGCAAGCGUUAUCCGGAUUUACUGGGUGUAAAGGGAGCGUAGACGGCAUUGCAAGUCUGAUGUGAAAGAUUGGGGCUCAACCCCAGGCCUGCUUGGGAAACUGCCAUGCUAGAGGGCUGGAGAGGG